GAUGAACGCUGGCGGCGUGCCUAAUACAUGCAAGUCGAGCGAACAGACGAGGAGCUUGCUCCUCUGACUUUAGCGGCUGACGUGUGAUUAACACGUGGAUAACCUACCUAUAAUACUUGGAUAACUUCGGGACACCUGAUCUAAUACCGGAUAAUAUAUUGAACCGCAUGGUUCAAUAGUUAAAGACGGUUUUGCUGUCUCUUAUAGAUGUAUCCGCUCCGCAUUAGCUAGUUGGUAAGGUAACGGCUUAUCAAGGCAACGAUGCGUAUCCGACCUGAGAGGGUGAUCGGCAACACUGGAACGGAGACACGGUCCAGAGUCCUACGGGAGGAAGCAGUAGGGAAUCUUCCGCAAUGGGAGAAAGCCUGACGGAGCAACGCCGCGUGAGUGAUGAAGGUCUUCGGAUCGUAAAACUCUGUUAUGAGGGAAGAACAAAUGUGUAAGUAACUAUGCACGUAUUGACGGUACCUAAUCAGAAAGCCACGGCUAACUACGUG
rnacentral:rRNA from 1 species